GUAGGGAAUAUUGGACAAUGGGGGCAACCCUGAUCCAGCGACGCCGCGUGAGUGAUGAAGGCCUUCGGGUCGUAAAGCUCUGUUGCAGGGGAAGAACACAAUGACGGUACCAUUCGAGGAAGGACCGGCUAACUUCGUGCCAGCAGCCGCGGUAAUACGAGGGGUCCUAGCGUUGUUCGGAAUCAUUGGGCGUAAAGGGUGUGUAGGUGGCCAUGUAAGUCAGGUGUGAAAGCCCCGGGCUCAACCCGGGAAGUGCACUUGAUGCUGCGUGGCUUGAGUACCGAAGAGGGUAGUGGAAUUCCAGGUGUAGUGGUGAAAUACGUAGAUAUCUGGAGGAACACCGGUGGCGAAGGCGGCUACCUGGUCGAGUACUGACACUGAGACACGAAAGCAUGGGGAUCAAACAGGAUUAGAAACCCUAGUAGUCC
rnacentral:rRNA from 1 species